rnacentral:rRNA from 1 species
CAGGCCUAACACAUAGCAGUCGAGCGGUCCCUUCUUAGGCAGCGGCGGACGGGUGAGUAACGCGUGGGAACGUGCCCAGAGGUGGGGAACAACCGCUGGAAACGGCGGAGAAGAGCCCAUACGCCCUACGGGGGAAAGAUUAUCGCCUUUGGAUCGGCCCGCGUCUGAUUAGGUAGUUGGUGGGGUAACGGCCUACCAAGCCGACGAUCAGUACCUGGUUUGAGAGGAUGAUCAGGCACACUGAGACUGAGACACGGCCCAGACUCCUACGGGAGGCAGCAGUGGGGAAUCAUAGACGAGGGGGGAAACCCUGAUCUUGCCAUGCCGCGUGAGCGAAGAAGGCCUUAGGGUUGUAAAGCUCUUUCACCGGGGAAGAUAAUGACGGUACCCGGAGAAGAAGCCCCGGCUAACUCCGUGCCAGCAGCCGCGGUAAUACGGAGGGGGCUAGCGUUGUUCGGAAUUACUGGGCGUAAAGCGCACGUAGGCGGAUUGUUAAGUCGGGGGUGAAAUCCCGGGGCUCAGCCCCGGAACUGCCUUCGAUACUGGCAAUCUGGAGGUCGAGAGAGGUGAGUGGAAUGGCGAGUGUAGAGGUGAAAUUCGUAGGAUAUUCGCCGGAACACCAGUGGCGAAGGCGGCU